CCCCAACCCCACAUGAGAAGCACAGUUGCCUCUGAGAACCCGGAAUGUGGACACAGCCAAUAAGCCCUCGUCCUGUCAGUAAGGGGGGAAAUCAUCACAAAAUCUCAUCUUGGAGGACAUAAGAGGCAGCAGCAACGGCUCCUUCCUGGAGCGUUCGGCAGCUCACUCCAGCCCCGGAGCAUGUGCUGAGUUCCCUGACCGUGGCAGCUGCAGCAUGAGGAUCCGUCAUUUCAGAAAAAUAGGGAAAGAGCCUCGAAUCCUUACUGCCCUCUAGAGAAAUUCCAGCAGAAGAGCUCAAUCUGUCGCAGUCAGCAGAAAAACAACGCUGCCCGUCGCAACUGCUCCUGCAGUUGUAAAGCACACAAUUUAUUUGCUAAAAUCUUGGAAGGACGAGUCUACCAGACCCUUUCCUUUACAAUCUCACACCUGAACCGCGAGCUGAUGCUGGCUCCUACGUUGACGCAAUCGUAAUUUUCCCAAUUCCAGGUCCACCCUCCAACACAAAGAUUUUAUGCCCACAGAUGAAUCAAAUUCUGAUCGUCAACAGAGUCACAGCCGACCAUAUUUUAAAUGCAAAUACUCAGACUUGUACAAAAAAUGUUUAACUUUGGGUACUGUUUUGAUGAAGACCUGAAAUUUACUGACCAUCUGUAUUCCAAUGAGAGCUGUGACACUGAGAUUACAGGGAGCUUUUCUAUUAAACACCGAAGUCCUAAAG
rnacentral:lncRNA from 1 species